UACGGAGGGUGCAAGCGUUGUCCGGAAUCACUGGGCGUAAAGGGCGCGUAGGCGGCUCAUGAAGGCUGCGGUGAAAGUCCGGGGCUCAACCUCGGAUCGGCCGUGGCGACUCGUGGGCUGGAGCACUGUAGAGGCGGGUGGAAUUCCGGGUGUAGCGGUGGAAUGCGUAGAGAUCCGGAAGAACACCAGUGGCGAAGGCGGCCCGCUGGGCAGUGGCUGACGCUGAGGCGCGACAGCGUGGGGAGCAAACAGG
rnacentral:rRNA from 1 species